rnacentral:rRNA from 1 species
GACGAACGCUGGCGGCGUGCUUAACACAUGCAAGUCGAACGGAAAGGCCCUGCUUUUGUGGGGUGCUCGAGUGGCGAACGGGUGAGUAACACGUGAGUAACCUGCCCUUGACUUUGGGGUAACUUCAGGAAACUGGGGCUAAUACCGGAUAGGAGCUCCUGCUGCAUGGUGGGGGCUGGAAAGUUUCGGCGGUUGGGGAUGGACUCGCGGCUUAUCAGCUUGUUGGUGGGGUAGUGGCUUACCAAGGCUUUGACGGGUAGCCGGCCUGAGAGGGUGACCGGCCACAUUGGGACUGAGAUACGGCCCAGACUCCUACGGGAGGCAGCAGUGGGGAAUAUUGCACAAUGGGCGGAAGCCUGAUGCAGCAACGCCGCGUGCGGGAUGACGGCCCUCGGGUUGUAAACCGCUUUCGCCUGUGACGAAGCGUGAGUGACGGUAAUGGGUAAAGAAGCACCGGCUAACUACGUG